UACGUAGGGUGCGAGCGUUACUCGGAAUUACUGGGCGUAAAGCGUGCGCGGGCGGCGCGUUAAGACAGGUGUGAAAGCCCCGAGCUUAACUUGGGAAUUGCGCUUGUGACUGGCGUGCUGGAGUGUGGCAGAGGGAGGUGGAAUUCCACGUGUAGCAGUGAAAUGCGUAGAGAUGUGGAGGAACACCGAUGGCGAAGGCAGCCUCCUGGGCCAGCACUGACGCUCAUGCACGAAAGCGUGGGGAGCAAACAGG
rnacentral:rRNA from 1 species